UACGUAGGGUGCGAGCGUUGUCCGGAAUUACUGGGCGUAAAGAGCUCGUAGGUGGUUUGUCGCGUUGUUCGUGAAAACUCACAACUCAAUUGUGGGCGUGCGGGCGAUACGGGCAGACUGGAGUACUGCAGGGGAGACUGGAAUUCCUGGUGUAGCGGUGGAAUGCGCAGAUAUCGGGAAGAACACCCGUGGCGAAGGCGGCUCUCUGGGACGGUACUGACGCUGAGACGCGAAAGCGUGGGGAGCGAACAGG
rnacentral:rRNA from 1 species